rnacentral:rRNA from 1 species
UACGGAGGGGGCUAGCGUUGUUCGGAAUUACUGGGCGUAAAGCGCACGUAGGCGGCUUUGCAAGUUAGAGGUGAAAGCCCAGGGCUUAACCCUGGAAUUGCCUUAAAACUGCAUCGCUAGAAUUGUGGAGAGGUGAGUGGAAUUCCGAGUGUAGAGGUGAAAUUCGUAGAUAUUCGGAAGAACACCAGUGGCGAAGGCGACUCACUGGACACAUAUUGACGCUGAGGUGCGAAAGCGUGGGGAGCAAACAGGG